GACGCGCAGGCUUAGCGGCCAUGACUCACGGGCCCAGCCACUUCGCGGCAUGUGGGAUCUUCCCGGACUGGGGCACGAACCCUUGUCGCCUGCAUCGGCAGGCAGACUCUCAACCACUGCGCCACCAGGGAAGCCCGAGCCAUAGGAAUUUGGAUGGUCAAGAACAUGCUCCAGUCAGUCCUUGAAUCCACAGAAUCAAACCAGUGUCUCAUCGUGGGGAGCGUCAUUAGUAUGAGCAUCAUCGACAUCAUCAUUACCAUCAUCAUCACCAUCACGCUAGUGGAAACACAGUUCUGUCCAACAAAUAAUAAUUGAGCCUUGACUCUGUUCUGGACACUGGAAUACAUGCCGGGGGAGAGAGAGCAAAAUGAACUUGUUCCAUCGCGAGACGCUCCCAAACUUCUCAUGCCAUCAGGUUCAGGCUUGAAGUCCAGGAUCUCGUCUUUGGUAUCAUUUCCAGGCCUCUCACCACUGCGGCCCCUCCUGUUGCGGAGCACAGCCUCCGGAUGCACAGGCUCAGCGGCCAUGGCUUAUGGGCCCAGCCUCUCCACGGCAUGUGGGAUUCUCCCAGACCGGGCACGAACCCAUAUCCCCUGCAUUGGCAGGCGGACUCCCAACCACUGCGCCAUGAGGGAAGCCCCCUUUUAACCU